rnacentral:rRNA from 1 species
GAUGAACGCUGGCGGCGUGCCUAAUACAUGCAAGUCGAGCGAACAGACGAUGAUCUUGCUCCUCUGACGUUAGCGGCGGACGGGUGAGUAACACGUGGAUAACCUACCUAUAAGACUGGGAUAACUUCGGGAAACCGGAGCUAAUACCGGAGAAUAUAUUGAACCGCAUGGGUCAAUAGUGAAAGACGGUUUUGCUGUCACUUAUAGAUGGAUCCGCGCCGCAUUAGCUAGUUGGUAAGGUAACGGCUUACCAAGGCAACGAUGGGUAGCCGACCUGAGAGGGUGAUCGGCCACACUGGAACUGAGACACGGUCCAGACUCCUACGGGAGGCAGGAGUAGGGAAUCUUCCGCAAUGGGCGAAAGCCUGACGGAGCAACGCCGCGUGAGUGAUGAAGGUCUUCGGAUCGUAAAACUCUGUUAUUAGGGAAGAACAAAUGUGUAAGUAACUAUGCACGUCUUGACGGUACCUAAUCAGAAAGCCACGGCUAACUACGUG